GCAGUUAAGCGUUCUUGGGCGAGAGUAGUACUAGGAUGGGUGACCUCCUGGGAAGUCCUCGUGUUGCACCCC
rnacentral:rRNA from 1 species